GAAAGAGGUUUUUCCCUUCGGGGCAGAUGUGUAGGUGCUGCAUGGUUGUCGUCAGCUCGUGCCGUGAGGUGUCGGCUUAAGUGCCAUAACGAGCGCAACCCUCAUCAUUAGUUACCAUCAGGUAAGGCUGGGGACUCUAAUGAGACUGCCAUCGUAAGAUGUGAGGAAGGUGGGGAUGACGUCAAAUCAGCACGGCCCUUACGUCCGGGGCGACACACGUGUUACAAUGGGUGGUACAAAGGGCAGCUACCUGGCGACAGGAUGCUAAUCUCAAAAGCCGGUCUCAGUUCGGAUCGGAGUCUGCAACUCGACUGCGUGAAGUCGGAAUCGCUAGUAAUCGUGAAUCAGAAUGUCACGGUGAAUACGUUCCCGGGCCUU
rnacentral:rRNA from 1 species